rnacentral:rRNA from 1 species
UGGGGAAUAUUGCACAAUGGGCGCAAGCCUGAUGCAGCCAUGCCGCGUGUGUGAAGAAGGCCUUCGGGUUGUAAAGCACUUUCAGCGAGGAGGAAGGUGGUGAACUUAAUACGUUCAUCAAUUGACGUUACUCGCAGAAGAAGCACCGGCUAACUCCGUGCCAGCAGCCGCGGUAAUACGGAGGGUGCAAGCGUUAAUCGGAAUUACUGGGCGUAAAGCGCACGCAGGCGGUUUGUUAAGUCAGAUGUGAAAUCCCCGGGCUCAACCUGGGAACUGCAUUUGAAACUGGCAAGCUAGAGUCUCGUAGAGGGGGGUAGAAUUCCAGGUGUAGCGGUGAAAUGCGUAGAGAUCUGGAGGAAUACCGGUGGCGAAGGCGGCCCCCUGGACGAAGACUGACGCUCAGGUGCGAAAGCGUGGGGAGCAAACAGGAUUAGAUACCCCUGGUAGUCCACGCUGUAAACGAUGUCGAUUUUGGAGGUUGUGCCCUUGAGGCGUGGCUUCCGGAGCUAACGCGUUAAAGUCGACCGCCUGGGGGAGUACGGCCGCAAGGUUAAAACUCAAAUGAAUUGACGGGGUC